UGUUAAUUUCUUCCUCUCUUUGUCUAGAACAGAGAGAAAGAUCAAGAGAGACAAGCGGAGAGUGAGAUGCUGAGAUAGAGGGAGAAGCUGAGAAACAAACUAAAAUAGCUAUUGCUGGAUACUGUUUCCUCAGGUCAUUGUUUGUAAGGAAAAUUUCCACGGGAUUUCUGGCAUGUCUUUCUUCACGCACUUUUGAUCCCCCAGAAACGUGAUGACUUGAUUUGGUCAUAUCAUGAAAUGUUGGAGAGGCCAAAUAAAGAUGGUUUUUGUUUGCUGUAAAUGAUCCCGUGUUGAUUUAUUUUGUGAGGACAUGGUUUAAACCUUCAUGACAGAGAAUGAAUUGGAGUUGGAUUUCAAGAGCAUAUUGGGACAAAGUUCCGGUCAUCCAGCUCGGAAAAAGGUUAUUGCUUGUCAAUAUGUUUGUUUGCUUAUACUUCUGCUACUCUUCUAUGUACAAUCUUUCUAGCCAUGAAUCGAAAUCAUUAAUUAAUGGCUUUUUCGUAAUCCAUGGAGAAAGAAGCGGCCUUGAAUUUGGCUGUAGAUUUUUUUGUUUUGUAAAUCAGUGAAGCAACGUACUAAUGUAGCUUAGUUACAUACCAUGUAUGUACAAAGUUCCUCCUUAUCCAAUUUGUUGUGACUCAGCAU